CGGACGCACGUGACUGCGACGCGUCCGGCUGCAGCCCGCUCACCCCGCGCGGCUGUACUUUGAACCCGGGCGUGGGAGACCGGAGGAGGGAGGGACGGGAAGGGGGAGGCCGGCCUCCGGGAGGGUGAUGUCAUCCGCAGCUUUAUCGCUAGGCAACCGCGGAAGGCUUCUGUCUCCCGCUGGAGCUCUACGGACGAAGACUUUACCCCCGCCCUCCGUUCCCUCACCCGGCGGCGCUCAAAGGCCGGCGAUUGAAGAAGCCAGUUUCCCAGGUCGUUUGGUCCCAGAUCCCUUAUUUCAUGGGGGAAACUACAGCUCAAGGACGACCACACAGAGGAUUGGGGCAGAGGGUGGAAUUCCCCCCAAAAUCGUGCCAGGAUUUAUCAUGUAAAUCAGGAAGGUGAAUUUGUGAAUGUCGCCAAAGUGAAUAAACAACAGAAUAAGAUGGCCCUUUGUAGAGGACUGAAAAUUAUUUCCCCGGAAGGCCAUCUCUAUUAUGAUUAUCGAAUGUACUGUGCCUAAUUUAGAAGGAUUAUUUCCAUGAUAAUCUUCCCACUUCCACCAGUAACUGUCCUCUGGGUUUCAGGUCUUAUAUGGACUAGCUCGACUCUUUCCACGAGAAAACCACAGUGGGUCCCCUCCUCCUUCCUAAAACUCUUGUAAUAGUACAGAGCAGUAGACUGAGAAACCGUCAAAACUGAUUCCACUCUUGCUUCUGUUACUGAACUCCAUGAACUUGCCUCAGCUUCCUCCCAGAGGGUUGUGAAAAUCAGGCCUUAGGAUGCCUUGUUUCCCUCUGGGGUGCUCUUUUUCUCAUUUCCCCCUGGGGUACUGAGUGGAGGAACAUGGGUCAUCACUUGGCUUCUUUUGUAGAGCACAUCAUAGAGGAGGUGAGGCAGUUGCUUGUGACUAUCGUGCUUACCAAGCUUCCCGUGCAGAAGAUACUGGUAUCAUGGGAUGGAUGCUACUGUAUCAACAUUUAUAGCAGGAAGCAUCCCCAGUCCCCGGUCCCAGUCCACCGUUCAUAUCCACAGGAGCAGUUGCUGGUGAGAGGCAGUAGGGCAGUAAAAUUCUAAAGAGAUGGAGAAGUUAGGAGAUCCUUGCUCGGAUCACAGACCAAAUAUAACCAAUUAAGCAAACUCGCCGGUAGUUUAGUACAGGACGCACCUGAGCCUUCUUCUUGUACUUGACCUCUUGUACUCAUUGUCCUGUUCAUUUUGUAAACCCAUCUUCUCUGGGCUUUCUCCAACUCCGCCUAGUGGAAGCUGGUAGCCUCUUUCGCCACCCAGCAUUGUGUCCACCCCUGCAUAGCGCUUACUGCAACCGUGAGUUAGUUUCCUAUAGCUCUGUUGCCCCCAUGAGACUUUGAGAUCUUGAAAUUAAUCUCAUUCUCCAGCCCUCACCACAAGAUCUUGCAUGCAAUAGGAGCAAAACAAACAUCUGGGGCUGGGGAUAUAGCUCAGAGGUAGUGCAUUUGUCUAGCAUGCAGAAUGCUCUGGGUUCAAUCCUCAGCAACCCCCCCCCACACACACACAUGAAAAAUGGGAAUCUCUGUACCCUCGGUUUAUUGAAUUUUUAGGCAAUAAACCGUCUGCUGCAAUUGACAAGUUUGCAACCUCUCACAGCAGCUUUGUACUGGGUGCAUCUAAAUACAAAGGCAGCAUGCCGGUCUCUGCCCUGCUACUUCACCAGCAUGCUCUUGCUACUGACACCCAAGAUGUCCAAAGCCCAGGACAGGGAGAGGUUACACACCCAAAACAGAGACCAGGGUAAUCCAUGAAUCAAAACACUAAAUCGAUUUUCAGUAAUGCCUUUGGCCCCCCGUUCUUGUUAAUCUGAGAGUUCAGCUAAUUAAAUGCUUUAUUUCUGACAUGAAAGUUUAUCAAUGGUUUUACCAGUAGACUAAAACCAUUAGCAAGUUGCUUUUAUUUUUAUGUAAUAAAUUGGUGGAGAAAUACAUGAGUGUUUGAAGGCUUUUGAAUAAAUAAUCUGCUAUGCACCAUUGCUGAGAAUCUGGAAGUUAAAGGAAAUUAAAAAAAAAAUUGUGGGGAGACGAACGUCACAGAGUCUACACGCUCACACAAUGUCCUUAACAAAAGAACUCCUGGAUCCUCUGUGUGAACCCAUUUACUCUAAUUUUAGACACAUUUCAAAUGGGUAUGGUUUUGUUUAAAUGGUCUUUUGGCCCACAGUAAGAGGUAGAAGAGAUAAAAGUUGGAGGAAGCUCUCUGACCAUCAGGAAGUGACAGCUGACAGCCAGGUUGGGAGUAAAUAAACUAAAAACACUGUAAAAAAGCAGAUGAAAGAGCUCAGUAAGAAUCUCACAGGUGCAAAUACUCCCAGAAAAAAAUGCAUAGUAGAAGAGAUGCGUGUUGAGAAUGGUGGCCCUGAAUUAUUGAGAAAGGUUUACUAUGUACAGGGUUUAAGACGUGUGUAAGACACUUUAGAGGCUAUCUAGAAAACAUCUUAGUAUGUUUUCUGCUAAAAUUCUUAAAAGGAAAAUAGCAUUGGCACUUGAAUAUAGAAGCUUCAGUUUGCUGAACUAUUAUGGGGAGGUAUCACAAUUUAGAAUUUUA
rnacentral:lncRNA from 1 species